GCAAGGGGCAGGGCGGGGCUCGGCCAGCGUAGUCAUUGCCCAUGGAAUCUCAAACACUGGGUUGCUUUUCACCGAGGCCACGCGCCAGCGACUCUGAAGCCUCCUCUCCUCCAGCGGAUCGUGGCCCGCGGCUUCUCGCCCUCGCUUGCACGCUUUGCCCAAGAACUCUUCCCGGGGCAGAGAAGUUGUGGAAACAAGCGGCUGGCCCGACGGCGGAGAAAGCGGGCUGCGGGGCUGCAGGUCAGCGUGAUGGAAGAGAGGAAGGCGCACGGCGGGUGGAAUAAACGCGCAUGGGUGUGAGGACGGAGACGCCCCGAGGGGCUGAACGCGCGGAGCAUCGGAGUGAGGGAGCGACCCCUAAGGACGCCUUCUAAGGGGCUCACAGGCCCAAACACAGCGGGGCAGCCUGAUCGGCGCCCCAGCCAGAAAGGCGGGGACAGAGCCCUCACUCCCUCUCCUCCCCAAAAGAAAAUAAUGCAACGA
rnacentral:lncRNA from 1 species